CCGAGGGCCGCGCGGCUCCUCCUGGUUUUGUCCCUGGCUGUGGGACCCAGUGCUGCCCCGAGUCGCAGGCACAUCUGCUGCAGGGGUGUCAGCGCCGCCCGCGGCUGCCUGUGCCUGGGUGCGGGGCUGUGGCGCGCACGUCCCUGGAACUUUGCGGGGCCCCAGAGGCGCGCCCUCGCCUCGGCCUCCGCCUCUGGGGACUGACGCGACGCCUCCUUUCACCAUCUGUGGACGGUCACAUCUCCUCUGCUGUGAAGUGCCUGUUCACGUGUCUCCCAAUUUUGGAUUACAUUCUGGAUAUUAGCCUUCCGUUCUGUGUGUCCCACUGUCUUCUCCCACUUGGUGGCUUAUUUUUCUCACUUACUUUAUGGUGUCUUUGGUUGAAUAGAAGUUCUUAAUUUUAAUAUAUAGAAAUUUAUCAAUCUUUUCUGAAUAGUGCUUUUUGUGUCUUGCUAAACAAAUCCUUCCCAAAGGUCAUGAUGUUAUUUUCCUGUAUUGUCUUCUAAAACCUUUACAAUUUUCUUUCAUAUUUAGGUCUCUAAACCUUCCAGGAAUUGGUUUUUCCAGAUGACAUAAAAAUAGGAGUUAAGUUAAAUUUUUCCAUUUGAAUACCCUGUUGUUUUCAGCAUCACACAUUAAGGAGUGCAUUCUUUCCCUCUGAUCCACAGCGCGACCUCUGUGUGUCCCCCCUGGUUGUUUGUGGGGUUUUCCUUCAGCGCUGGUCUUUGUGCCCACGCGGCUCUGUCUUCAUCUCUCUGGUGCAUAAGGAGACUUGGCAUCAGGAAGGCAAAUCCUUCCACCACGGCCUAUUGGGAAUAUCCUGCUGCUUGUGGCUCUCUGCACGUCUCUGUUAAUUUCGAGUCAGCUUAUUCAGUUUACACGCCACAAUCAAAACUGCUGGGCUUUUCAUUAAAAUUGUUCCUGUUCUACAAAUUAGGAACCCUGACGGGUGUGUCAUGGCUCCCAGCAACUGCCCAUUCAGGCAACCGUCUGCUUCUGUGAGCCAGCAUCGCGACACCCCUGAGUAGUCACAAGUGACCUGAAUUAUCUCAUUACAUCAAGACACCAGAUCUGCAUGUGACAAAAUGUUUACAAAAAGCAACUGCAGGGUGGGAGGUUGUGUUUUCUACAGAGGGAGAUCUCAAUCCUGAUUAAGAAAAAUGUAGAGAAAUGAUAAAAUAAACACUUGAACAUUUUGGUACCUCUCUGGGCUAGGGCUGAACCUUGGUGCUGGUCCGAAUCACUCCAGAGCGGGGGAGCCCUCCUGGAAUGCCGCCAAGAAUUGAAGAAGGGCUCUUUAGAGAACUCACGAAAUGCUAAAAUAUUUCAUUCUGUCCUCAGUUUAAUUCUCUCAUGUAAGCUUGGAGCAGUUUUUAGUAAAAGAAGAAAUCUGACUGUCUGAAAUCUAAGACCAAAACUCAGCUUCAAGUGACAUGACUGCAGGUUCGGAAGGAAAUCAUUGUUCAGCACGAAAGUCAAAUAACCAGGCCCCUCAGGAUUCCAGGGGAGCGCACUUUGAGAAUUGCUCUUUUGUGUCAUCUGGCCAUUGUUUUGUUUUGUUUUUGCGUUAAGAACUCAGAAGGACAAAAUCUCUUUCUGUGCAUAUAUUCAUUUGAAUUCUACUUUUGACCCUUUUUGUCGAAGGUUGCAGAACUCCCUCAAGUCUCCCAGAGCGAGUGCCUAUGGCCAGCAUCCGGCAGGUCGCCUCUGCCUCACAGCAGCUGGGACCUGGAGACACACAGGCAUCCGGGAAGUUCUCUCGUGGACUUUUCAGGGAACUUCACAUUCUCAGGCUCUCUCCAUGGACUGUGACCCUCACCCAGGCGACAGCAGCUGGGCAGCUGGUCUAGAUGAUCCCCACAGGGACCGUGACAGCGCCGGUGGCCCAGCAGAAACUCCUGCAGCAGCGGGCUGUGAGGACAGCAGCGGCAGCCCACUGCAGGCGUCUAGUGUCCCACCAGUGCAGAGCAACAGUGCUGGGUCUUGAAAGCCAGUUAGGACUUCUCUGUUAGUGUACAGGGUUUUGCACAUCACAGGAGCCCUUUGGCGGUGCAGUGAAUCAUAAAACAGACUUUAUGAAGCUAGAACAUGGUCUUUGACAGAACCUGCGUCUGCUUGGCUCUUUAUACCUGACUGGAAAGGCAUCAUGGUCCUGAGACAGGAGAGAGACGGACUAUGGUAGAUCAUUUCAGGUCAGAGGAAGCCAGUGUGGUUUUUCCCUUCCCUCCUAAAAUGUGACUUGUUUGAACUUUGAAAGAAAAUGUUUAGUACUGACGCCCACCGAAGCACAUUCACGAUGUGUUCUCGGCUUGUGUCGAGGGGAAAUAAUCUGUGAUUGAGUUUUCAUCCCAAAGAGCAGCCAGUGUGGCUUCCCCAGAGCCUCCCCCGUGUGACUUGCUUCCAUGGAAACACAGCCUUCGGGACUGCUCCUCUUCCCAGCACAUCCGCGGUAUUUCCCAGCUUUUGGAUGAAGCUCGUGUUUGGACUCAGUGCACUGAAGCAGCUCCGGUGAACGUGUGAGGCUCCCGUCUCGGGUGGUGUGGGGCCCAGAGCACAGCUCAAGUGUUGUUCUGUUGCAGACGUCACUGCUGAGUGCAGGGUAAGGGAAGCAAUUAGGGCAGAGGCUUGUCAUUGCCCCCUUGUUCUCAUGCCCUCCCCAGGGUGAUCUGCAGAGGUGAGAGACCUCCUCGUACCAGGUGGUUUAUUUAUGAACCUACAAGUAUUGCCCACAGAAAUGGGCACAGUGAACUCUUCGUUGCACUCUCGUAAUGCCAAGCUUCUGAGCCAGGAUCUCAUACAUGAGCAGAUACGCUCACUCACGCUUCUGCAUAAAGCCAGGAACUGUCCAAGCUGUUUGAGGGCGCACAGUUGAAGGGCAAACAGGAGGCUGCCUGUUUGGUACUGUUUUUAUUUUUUUACUGAAGCAAAAUAAUAGAAGUGAUUGCAGUGGG